rnacentral:rRNA from 1 species
UACGUAGGGUGCAAGCGUUGUCCGGAAUUAUUGGGCGUAAAGAGCUCGUAGGCGGUUUGUCGCGUCGAAUGUGAAAACCCGGGGCUCAACCCCGGGCCUGCAUUCGAUACGGGCAGACUAGAGUUCGGUAGGGGAGUCUGGAAUUCCUGGUGUAGCGGUGAAAUGCGCAGAUAUCAGGAGGAACACCAGUGGCGAAGGCGAUCAUCUGGGGUUGUUCUGACACUGAGGAGCGAAAGCUAGGGGAGCAAACGGG